UACGGAGGAUACAAGCGUUAUCCGGAUUUAUUGGGUUUAAAGGGUGCGCAGGCGGACCGCUAAGUCAGGGGUGAAAAGUUCGUGCUUAACAUGAAUCGUGCCUUUGAUACUGGCGGACUAGAGUGCGAUAGGCGUGGCCGGAAUGUGAUGUGUAGCGGUGAAAUGCUUAGAUAUGUCACAGAACACCGAUCGAGAAGUCAGGUCACGAGUUCGCAACUGACGCUCAUGCACGAAAGCGUGGGGAUCAAAC
rnacentral:rRNA from 1 species